ACACUUUGCUGCAAAUAAGUUUACAAGUGUCUAAGACAAAACUAUUUCUCCAUAAACAAUACAGUGAUCAGGAAAGAUGUAGCUACAGUACUCUAUUAUUAAUUUAACAAGGAGAGGGAAACAAUUUCAUGGAAGCUAAUAUAAAUGAAGAGUCUGAAGAUUUCCCCACAGAUUUUGAGAUUCAAUCUCUUAGUAAAUCCUGCAUCAACAUCAGCAUAUAACAGCCCCUGGAACUACAGAGCAACAAGACAGUCAGUGUCUUUAGAAGACUUCUUUAAAGCUAAACAGGAUCUUUAAAUCCAGGACACAACUCAUGUAGACUUAAUGAGAAAAUCCAUUCAUCCAUCUAUUAAAAGCUGAAAACUUGGACUGUCUGCAGAACCUUAUUAAUUUUUCUAAUUGCCAAGUUGAACUAUGACACUUGCCAUGAAUAUUAUAUAAAUGAUGGUCUUAUGGACAGACAGAAUAUAUAGCAUGUAUAGUGAACAUAAAUUUUUAUGAUUUCAAAAUUAAAUCACAUUGCACAAGUUUCUAAACAAUGUAUGAAUAAACAGUAAAUUUUAUGAAUUAUUGAUAAUGUUAAUAUUAAUAAUAAAGUUUUAUCUUGUAA